ensembl:ncRNA K03H9.7 ncRNA
GGCUAGUCGUCGAGUAAACACGAUCGAAUGACCAGCCUUCAGUCGUCGCCCCCGGGAAAACGGGCAGGACGGUUAUUAUCCGGGCACGAGGGGGCCAAAACCAAGGGGGACAAUUAGCAAUUAUGCCCUCGAACCGAUCC